CUUUUUGCCAGAUUGCUGUCUAAGUGUAGAUUCAGACUGCAGGAGACGGUGUGAGAGAGCAGCUGCUUACAUAUGGAGACCUGAGCCCAAAUUCGCAAGCACUCUAAAUGUUUAUUUGGAGUGUGCGCUUGGAUUUAUCUGGGGACAUUUGCUUGAAAUGAAACUCAUUUAUAUAAGACAAAUUCAUGAGACAGAAAUGGAGAGGAAUGGAAACUAUAUGAGAAUGAAAAUAUGCCGGUGUUCAGCACUUGUGAAACAUUAAAAACCAAGUUUGAAUGAUGGC
ensembl:lncRNA